rnacentral:lncRNA from 1 species
UGAGGGCUUCCUUCAAAAACCUUGGCCUGCGAUGGCCUGGAUUGCAGGAGUCCUAUGAUGUUGGCUAGUCGGUGUAAUUGUCGGGCUUUUCCCUUAAUCCAUUUAUGCCUGAGGUUGCAAUUUUUUGAAUUUUUGCAAUUAGACCUUGGCGAUGACCUUGAGCAGUAGGAUAUAAAUAACUCCCUUGUGUUUAGCAUUCCAGUAAUGGAACACUAGCCAUAAUAAACCGUUCCAAAAAUGCGUUCUAAUGGCUCUCAAGCAAGGUCCACUUGCAGUGAAAUAAACCAGAGGUUUGAAUCAUGGCUUGAUACGAAAUUAUUGGAAAGAAUAUGGCGAUGACAUCCACAAUGCCGGGUAAGAAGACGAAAUUACAAGCAGGAUGAAAAAUUUGUUCAAUGAAACACAGCUAUUAAGUGGCUGACCUAAUAAGUGUUAUGUAUAAGUGACUCAUCCAUUGUAGCUUCUGGGACUCAACUUUAGGAUCAUCGUCAUAUGCAGCCUGGAGCUAGCCAUAUUUGAAGAGCUAGGAAGGAGGCACAGUGAUUGACAAUCUCCUUUCUCCUCAACUAGAAUGUCAUUUCCUUUUUUAAAACUAAUUUAAAUCCCAUCUACAUUCAAUUGCUUGUCUAAAAUAAAACCCAACUCCUCUCUUAAAGACUUUA